rnacentral:rRNA from 1 species
AUUGAACGCUGGCGGCAGGCCUAACACAUGCAAGUCGAGCGGAUGAAGGGGGCUUGCUCCUGGAUUCAGCGGCGGACGGGUGAGUAAUGCCUAGGAAUCUGCCUGGUAGUGGGGGAUAACGUCCGGAAACGGGCGCUAAUACCGCAUACGUCCUGAGGGAGAAAGUGGGGGAUCUUCGGACCUCACGCUAUCAGGUGAGCCUAGGUCGGAUUAGCUAGUUGGUGGGGUAAAGGCCUACCAAGGCGACGAUCCGUAACUGGUCUGAGAGGAUGAUCAGUCACACUGGAACUGAGACACGGUCCAGACUCCUACGGGAGGCAGCAGUGGGGAAUAUUGGACAGUGGGCGAAAGCCUGAUCCAGCCAUGCCGCGUGUGUGAAGAAGGUCUUCGGAUUGUAAAGCACUUUAAGUUGGGAGGAAGGGCAGUAAGUUAAUACCUUGCUGUUUUGACGUUACCAACAGAAUAAGCACCGGCUAACUUCGUG